GCGUUCAUAGUUUAAAUGGGAAAACCACUGCCUUCCAAGCAGAAGUUGAGAGUUCGAUGCUCUCUGGACGCUCCA
rnacentral:tRNA from 4 species